CAGUAGCCGCGGGAACACGGAGGGUGCAAGCGUUAAUCGGAAUUACUGGGCGUAAAGCGCGCGUAGGCGGUUACUCAAGUCAGAGGUGAAAGCCCGGGGCUCAACCCCGGAACUGCCUUUGAAACUAGGUAACUAGAAUCUUGGAGAGGUCAGUGGAAUUCCGAGUGUAGAGGUGAAAUUCGUAGAUAUUCGGAAGAACACCAGUGGCGAAGGCGACUGACUGGACAAGUAUUGACACUGAGGUGCGAAAGCGUGGGGAGCAAACAGGAUUAGAUACCCCUGUAGUCCCUGUCUCUUAUAC
rnacentral:rRNA from 1 species